AGUGAACGCUGGCGGCAGGCCUAAUACUAUGCAAGUCGAACGGCAGCACAGCAGAGCUUGCUCUGUGGGUGGCGAGUGGGCGGACGGGUGAGGAAUACGUGGGAAUCUGCCCAGUCGUGGGGGAUAACGUAGGGAAACUUACGCUAAUACCGCAUGCGCCCUUCGGGGAAAGCCGGGGACCUUCGGGCCUGGCGCGAUUGGAUGAGCCCACGUCGGAUUAGCUAGUUGGCGGGGUAAAGGCCCACCAAGGCGACGAUCCGUAGCUGGUCUGAGAGGAUGAUCAGCCACACUGGAACUGAGACACGGUCCAGACUCCUACGGGAGGCAGCAGUAGGGAAUAUUGGACAAUGGGCGCAAGCCUGAUCCAGCCAUGCCGCGUGAGUGAAGAGGGCCCUCGGGUUGUAAAGCUCUUUUGUCCGGAAAGAAAGCGCCGGGUUAAUACUCUGGUGUCCUGACGGUACCGGAAGAAUAAGCACCGGCUAACUUCGUGCCAGCAGCCGCGGUAAU
rnacentral:rRNA from 1 species